AUAUCAUUCACGGCCGCGGUUCCUACCGUGCGAAGGUAGCAUAAUCAUUUGUUCUUUAAUUGAGGACUAGCAUGAAUGGCCUAACGAAGACUAUACUGUCUCCUUUUUCCAAUCAAUGAAACUAAUCUCCCCGUGAAGAAGCGGGAUAAAUUUAUAAGACGAGAAGACCCUAUGGAGCUUUAAACAACUGAAUUACCUGCUUUUCAUCUCUAUGCACCUCCCGAGAACCAAAUUUAUUAUAAGCACUCUAAUUUCAAGUUUUAGGUUGGGGUGACCACGGAGCACAAACUACCCUCCUCGCUGAAAUUGAAUAUUCUUCUUAGUUAAAAGCUACACCUUUAAACAUCAAUAUAUUGACUUCCAUUGACCCAAUUAUUUGACCAACGAACCAAGUUACCCUAGGGAUAACAGCGCAAUCUACUUCAAGAGCUCUAUCGACAAGUAGGCUUACGACNCUCGAUGUUGGAUCAGGGUAUCCUAGUGGUGCAGCCGCUA
rnacentral:rRNA from 1 species